rnacentral:rRNA from 1 species
AACGAACGCUGGCGGCAGGCUUAACACAUGCAAGUCGAGCGAGACCUUCGGGUCUAGCGGCGGACGGGUGAGUAACGCGUGGGAACGUGCCCUUCUCUACGGAAUAGCCCCGGGAAACUGGGAGUAAUACCGUAUAAGCCCUUUGGGGGAAAGAUUUAUCGGAGAAGGAUCGGCCCGCGUUGGAUUAGGUAGUUGGUGGGGUAAUGGCCCACCAAGCCGACGAUCCAUAGCUGGUUUGAGAGGAUGAUCAGCCACACUGGGACUGAGACACGGCCCAGACUCCUACGGGAGGCAGCAGUGGGGAAUCUUAGACAAUGGGGGCAACCCUGAUCUAGCCAUGCCGCGUGAGUGAUGAAGGCCUUAGGGUUGUAAAGCUCUUUCAGCUGGGAAGAUAAUGACGGUACCAGCAGAAGAAGCCCCGGCUAACUCCGUG